ACGGCGAGUGAACCGGGAAGAGCUCAAAUUUGAAAUCUGGCGUGCUCAGUGCGUCCGAGUUGUAAUCUAUAGAGGCGUUUUCCGUGCCGGACUGUGUCUAAGUCCCUUGGAACAGGGUAUCAAAGAGGGUGAUAAUCCCGUACUUGACACAAUGACCGGUGCUCUGUGAUACGUCUUCUACGAGUCGAGUUGUUUGGGAAUGCAGCUCAAAAUGGGUGGUGAGUUCCAUCUAAAGCUAAAUAUUGGCGAGAGACCGAUAGCGAACAAGUACCGUGAGGGAAAGAUGAAAAGCACUUUGGAAAGAGAGUUAAACAGUACGUGAAAUUGUUGAAAGGGAAACGAUUGAAGUCAGUCGUGACUGAGAGGCUCAGCCGGUUCUGCCGGUGUAUUCCCCUCAGUCGGGUCAACAUCAGUUUUGUUCGGUGGAUAAGGGCAGCUGGAAGGUGGCACCUCCGGGUGUGUUAUAGCCAGCUGUCGCAUACAUCGAAUGAGACUGAGGAAUGCAGCUCGCCUUUAUGGCCGGGGUUCGCCCACGUCCGAGC
rnacentral:rRNA from 1 species